UACGUAGGGUGCAAGCGUUGUCCGGAAUUAUUGGGCGUAAAGAGCUCGUAGGCGGCUUGUCGCGUCGGCUGUGAAAUCCCGAGGCUCAACCCCGGACUUGCAGUGGGUACGGGCAGACUAGAGUGUGGUAGGGGAGACUGGAAUUCCUGGUGUAGCGGUGAAAUGCGCAGAUAUCAGGAGGAACACCGGUGGCGAAGGCGGGUCUCUGGGCCAUGAACUGACGCUGAGGAGCGAAAGCAUGGGGAGCGAACAGG
rnacentral:rRNA from 1 species